rnacentral:rRNA from 1 species
UGGGGAAUCUUGCGCAAUGGGCGAAAGCCUGACGCAGCAACGCCGCGUGAGUGAUGAAGGUCUUUGGAUCGUAAAGCUCUUUCAGCUGGGAAGAAACGCCUCAUGGCUAAUAUCCAUGAGGUUUGACGGUACCAGCAGAAGAAGCACCGGCUAACUCUGUGCCAGCAGCCGCGGUAAUACAGAGGGUGCAAGCGUUGUUCGGAAUUAUUGGGCGUAAAGCGCGCGCAGGCGGGAUUGCAAGUCGGAUGUGAAAGCCCUCGGCUCAACCGGGGAAGUGCGUUCGAAACUGCAGUUCUUGAGUGUCGGAGAGGGUGGCGGAAUUCCCGGUGUAGAGGUGAAAUUCGUAGAUAUCGGGAGGAACACCAGAGGCGAAGGCGGCCACCUGGACGAACACUGACGCUGAGGCGCGAAAGCGUGGGGAGCAAACAGGAUUAGAUACCCCGGUAGUCC